UCGAAAUAGCCGUAACCUAACCAGGGUCUCCUCGUGAGUCGGGAUCCUCCGCUCGCCGCCGCCACCUCCUCCCCUUCCUCGUCUCCUGCCGCCGCCACCUCCUCUCCUUCCUCGUCUCCUGCCACGUCCCUCCUCUGGCUUUCGAUCUCCGCCACCGGGCCUCCUCCUCUCUCCCACGGGCCUUGGGUGUGGCUCCGCGCGAGGCGCUACAUAUGAGAGGCGUGGCGGGUGGCCUUCGGGGAGCACCUGCCGUCGAGCAUGCGCAGACGCUUAUAAUCGUGCAGCGCCUGCUGCUUCUGCCGGCGGACCGCGAGCUUCUCCGGCACCGCCGCCGCGGUCACCCUACCUCCAUCGUCUCUUUGGUUAGGAGUAUUGGAGGGAGGGCAUGGGCGUGAUUCCGGCGAGAUGUGUCUCGGUUAGAUGUCUGCGAUGCGACAAUCAGAAAUCCUCUGGUUUGUCUUCCUCCUUAUCUGGCUUUAACCAUCCAGGAACAGGCCCACAAGUUCUGAGGCAUGAAGUUAAAGCUGCUGAAUUAGCUAACAUGAGAUGGGUUUGUGCACAUGUAUCUUUAGAAGUUUGAGUCAGUAGUAACUUAGUGUGGUGUAUUGCGACCUCAGACGCGACUCUUGUGGAUGUGGAUAUCACCUGAAGACUUGACUCAUAGAAAUCAUCUAAUAGGCCAAAUAUGGCUUGGUGUUUCAUCUAUCUAAUAUGUAAAUUGUCAGCAUGACCUCUGAAAUACACCUCCCAUUUGACUAGAAUCUACCUUCCAUUUGACUUAGCGUGGACGUCCAAUUUCAGUUUGAGCCUUAAUCAGUAUCUGUUGGCAGUGUUGUGGUGUUCCCGAUUUCUGGGCCAGUGUAAUGAUUAUUGAAAUUAUAUUCCUGCAGUUACCUUCUCAGGAACUAGGCUUUGUCGCCUGUCAUGCUUCUCAGGCGUCAAGUGACAGUUAACACAACCAGGCCUUGUACAAAUUAAUGUCUACUUGAAAGGCUUUGCACAAAUGAAUGUCUACCUGAAGUCUCUCUCGCUGGUGCAUCUCUGUUUAGAGCACAAUCGAUUGAAAUGAGGAGCUAUAUAUGACAAUGAGAAGUUGUAUAUGGAGAACAAUCAAUUAGAAACCAUAUAUGAAGCCGUAUACUCCAUCAACUGUAUAUCGCAAUGAGAAGCUGCUUAGAUGGGCUUAUACUUAAUUUGUAUGCAGCAUUUUACGUGUCACUGUAGUCGCUCUCUUGUUACGAGCAAUCUUGGUCGCAUUGUAUUUCUUUUGUCCAUGUGCAUUUAACCAGUUAUCUUGGUCUAUUGUGAAACCAGCCUUUUAUUUACAGCAAGACAUACUGCAUAACCAUUAAUAACAAAACAUUAGGUUUUAUAUGGACGUUUGGUGGUCAGCUUUUGUUAAUAUGCUUUUGUUAAAACCUAUGCAAAAAACGUCCAUAGUCUUUUGGUGGUCAGCUUUUGUUAAUAUGCAGAUUCAUUUGGAACAGCCUCACGCUAGCUGAUUUUUCAGGGUACAAAUAUAGUGAAGUUCUGAUUGUAAAGAUAUGCCUUCCAUAUCUUAGAACCUCACUCUGUUCUAUAGUUCUAUUACAUACAUGCAUGUGAUAUUCACUGUACUUUUUCUCAUUGCCCAUUACUUCACAUGCAAUAUAACCUAUGUAAGUCAUCUCUACUGAUUUUAUUGUAUGAACUUUCCUUCUUGCUCUACUUAUUAUAGCAUGUACUUUUUGUCAUGAUUGCAGUAUGCAGCAACCAAGGUGAUAUGCAGGGCCAAGGUGAUGCAAGAACUUCUCAGUUCACAAAUGCAAGAGAGUUUUGACUUCUUAUGACAUUACACUGAUCAUAUUCUGGUGAGAUGUUGAUGACAGGAAGAAUUAUUAUUGUUGUUCAAGGUAGCUGCAACUAUGCACAUGAUGCAAGAAUUAUAUUUCUGUAGAGGUAGCUGCAACUAUGCACGUCAGUUUGAUCCUCCUAACUAAAAAUAAAAUUUAAUCUUCUUGGCAGAUUCACUUUUCUAUAUACUAAUUUCCGAUGUAGUUUGAAAAAAAAGCAAAAGAAUCGGAUAUGAUCAUAGGACUACAACAUGAAGUUUGACGAGUGUCCCAUAUCCCAUCAUUGUUCUCUCAGUUUUCACGACAUGAUUCUCCGUGAUAAUCUCAGAUAUACCUAGGAAGAUCAAAUUACAGAAAAAAAAAACCUUGGAAUGGUUCUUUUGAUUUACCUUCGGUUCUUAUUAACGAUAUAGUUAUCUAUAUUAUCACUUCGAAGUGGUGUUCCUGGAACAUUAAAUUGAUUAUAAAUACACUAGAUAUUAAUUUUGUGCAUAUCCAUGUCCCACCCACAAUGCAAAGCAAGACUGCACAUAUACGUUAACGAAUACGCUAGCAAGAUUAGUACGCACAAUCACGCACACACAGGAGGUGCACACAAUAAGAGUCGGGAAGGGGUGGCCACUCGCCUAUGCCACGCCAAAGAUUUUACUGUCGCAGGCAACACCUUCCCAUGGUACGUACUCUGCGAUGAACCGGGUGAACCGGGUGAUGGGAGCUUGCGAAGUCAAUGAUAUAUUUUGGAUCUUGCUGCUUGAUUUUGGCAUCUAUGUUGCAGACCAGAGACCACGUAUUACAGGUACUAUUUCAAUCUCUUGGUUAUUUCAGAUUGCACAUAUAAACCGGGUGAUGGAAGAUGUACUGUACUAAGCGGUUGAAUUGUCGUGUUGACUGGGGACUAUGUCGUUGUCGAAGUCUGUAAUCCAGUUAGACGGUCUUCACUUCUGAAAGUUCAUCAACCAGAGUCUACUCUUAGAUAUUUUGUUUAAGUAAAAUUUGCUCAAAGUGAUUUAGGAUAUUGGGCCUCUAAAAGAAAAGUAAGAAUCUAAAUUCCUAAGUAAUUAUAACAACUCAAGUGUGAUCUUCUUGUUGCUUAAUUUUCCAGUUAAGAUAUCUUUUUGAUAUAGAUUGCCAGGUUCCGUUCUCGCAUAAAACUCCCAAUCCUAUGAUCAUCAUAUGUCUCCUGUAUGAUGUUUUUGCUGGAAGGUCUGCUUACUUUUAUGUACAUCUCUUUUCUAAAAAUGUCACUGAUAGUUUGUUUUGCCGAACAUAUUAGGUUGACUGGAUUCCAUCUCAAUUCCUGUAUAUCUCUCUAAAAAGGUCACUGGCAAGGUGGUGUGGAGUGAGAAGACAUAGAGAUGGAUGAGGAUGACGGAAGGAAGCAGUAGCAGCUCGAUCCAGGAACCAACAGCUGGCUCGCUCCUAGGUCUUCAACCCGCUCCCCCCCUCCUUUCAGUCUACCGCAUGCAGCAGAUGGUGGAGCAACCAAGCAUACAUACACAUUGAAAUUGAUUCUAUUGUAAGCUGAUUCUACAUCCAAGAGAUCAAGAGAUCCUAAUGUUAUAGCAUACGUCCAUAUUGAUGUACAUGAGAGACUAAGAAUUAAACAUGGCAGAGGAAUGUGCCGAGACAAGAUAAGUGCGCACAAGCCCGCCUUAGGAGGUGCCACCAGGUGGCGCCCCAGCCUCUAGUAACACAUGAAAGCCAACGUUGAAAGAAUACUUUGUGGAACCACGUUCAAAAGUUCU